UAGGCCUGUGGGGGGGAUACAAGGUAUGGCAUGGGAGGUGUGUAAUACUGAAUUGAUUCAGCUUGGGGGGAGCAAAAAGAGCUGUCUUUAGGUGAGGUCCCACCAUGCAAAAGUGCUUUGGGUGAACAGGCAACAACAUGGGCACAGUAGAAAUAAUUACGACUGAAUGACAAGAGGGACACAAUACGGCAAGAAGGAGACAGAAUGGAGACAGUAGACAGAAUGGAGGCAGUAGGCUAGAAUGUAGGCAGUAGGAUAGAAUGAAGACAGUAUUAUUAACAUUUAUUAUUAAUCUUUAUUUAUAAAGUGGGAUAUAAUGGAUGCAGUAGGGAAAGAUUCAGACAGUAGAAUAGAAUGGAUGCAUUUGGAUAGAAUGAAGGCAGUAGGGGAAGAUGCAGUCAGCAGGAUGGAAUGGAGACAGUAGGAUAGAAUGGAGGCAGUUGGCUAGAAUGUAGGCAGUAGGAUAGAAUGAAGACCACAAGAAAAAAUUGAGACAGCAGGACAGAAUAGAGACAGCAGGACAGAAUAGAGACAGCAGGCUUAAAUGGAGACAGUAGGGAAAGAUGCAGACAGUAGGAUAGAAUGGAGAUGGUAAUGCAAGAUGGUGACAAUGGGCCGUCAAUAACACUUUAUAUCAUUGUUUUCCACCCUGCAGCCCUUCUACUGAUGUUGAAAUACAACUCCCAGCAGCCAAAAGGUGUAACAUGCCUCUGUAUUUAAUUACAUGUUAUAGGGUAGUAACUGUCUAUACUCAUAUACAAUAGCAUUUCAUUGUUACUUUCAGGAACUAUUUACAUUUUUUUCUGAAUUUUAAGAAUUCUCAUGUGUUAUUCUCGCCCCAUUGCAUUAUACUCGGCACUUACCUUGAGUCGGCUUGGUCCCUGCGGAGGAAAAAAAAA